UCCAAUUUUGAAGCUUUCAUUUUAAAAAUGUCGACGAAUCCCGAGAAAUUAAUUUCGCCUAAGAGACGUUGUGCGAGUAAAUAGAAAAAAAGGAAAAAAAAAAAAAAAGGAAGAAGAAUUGGUGGCAUAGGGGUCGCCCUAAGUGGGCAAGUGGACAAAUGUUUUUGUUUUGUUUCCCUGAGCCUGCAUCUUCUAGAGGCUCCCGCGUCUAUGAUUUCGAUCAGCAUCAACUAAUGACAACUCCCAUCUCCAUCAACCUUUCCUCUUCUCGACAGCUGCCCAAGGUCUGCUGAGCCCAUUCCCUGCAAACUGCUAUUCUGUUGAGCCAGCCUCUGCAACGACCAGCUCUUCUGCAACCCUUCUUCCAUCUGCACGGCAACUCCCUGCAGCUCUGCAAUCCAUCACCAUCACCUUCCCAUUCCUCUUCUUUUUCCUUUCCUUUUCUUUCCGUCUGGUUUUUUUCUUCCGCAGUAACCAUAAUCGGAUCACCAGACACCAGAGGACCAUUGAUCACCUUCCCUCCCUCAGCCACCUUCUUCAUUCCUCGCGUCCCUGACACCUCCUUGAAUCACCACCACCUUUCCUCGGUUAUUUUCAGUCCAUUACACCCCACAAAUCGCCAUGGCAGAGCACCCUGACCAUUAAUCUUCCAUCCCUCAGCUCGGGGACUCUCUCCCUCUCUUUUCUUUCGGCUGCAACACAGACAUACACAACCAUGCACAACUCAUCUCCAUCGACUUCAACACUCUUUAUCUCUCAGUCCAUCACCCCGCAACUCCAGUCCCCUCUCUAACUCCUCUUCCCUCGACCAAGACACUGCUCAACUCACUCCAUAGCCCUCACGUUCACCAUUCCAUGCUGACCACAGCCAUUAUCGUCUCCUGAACUUGAUCGUCAUCAUCACCGUCUGCCCACAGCACGAUCGAUCCUCAUUAGCUUUUCUGUCCCUAUCGGCUACAGAGAACAGACCAUCACGGUCCACCAUCAACUUCACCAGCUCAAUCUCCACCCUCACCCCUUCUUCUCUCAUUCUCGGGCAUUUCCUCUCCCUCUAGCCAUUCUGUCACCGUCCCCCUUUCUUUUUCCCCUUUUUUUUUUCCCUGAAUAGAGCUGCUUUUUCCUCCAUCAGUUCUACUGCCCUCUCUCGAACUCUCUCUCUCUCCCUCCCCCUCUUAACUCCGGAGUUCACACAGGACAGAGAGUUGCUACUACUGCUCUCCUCUUCUUUUUCAAGUUGUAACUGUUGUUGCUCCUCCCUUGUACCCGUUGAGCUGCCACCAUUGCUCGUCUUCAGUCGUUGGAGCUGUCCAACACUUACCUGAGAUUGCUCAUUGCUACCGCUGCUGUGAUGCACACCCUCCUCGAGCUUCCCCGCAUCUCCUAGAGUUGAGCUAAGUCUUGAGCUCCCUCUCUUCCUCCCGUUCUCUGCUCUGGCUGCCAUUAUCUGCUGUUGUUCUGUCAUUUUUUUCCUUUCUUUUGCAGGCUUUUCCCGAGCUCCUUCGAACUCUGUUGCUACUGUCCCUCCUCGAGGCUGUGGUGACUAGUCUGUUUCUCUUGAGGUUCGGUUUUGUGGAUUCCCGAAGCUCCACGUAGUCCUCUCGACACUUGCUCCAGGAAAGAGGGAUAUAAAUGCUCAUCCAUGGGUUGCCUCCCAAGCAGUGCAUUUGUUUAAAGUCGUUUCCUCGACUUCCUGCUUCAUCAAGUAGUUUCGUAGAAGGGUUUCAAUCUCAGCGCAUUGGCCCCCUUUGAUGUAACUCUUAGGUCUUCUAUCCAUGAAGGUGGAAAUCUUGGCUCUGUAAUUGUUAGACAGCAUAUUUUCGGAAUUUCCGAAAUGAGUCAUCAAGUGCUGGCCGAAAUUGACGCAAUUGGGUCUGGACCCAUUGUAAAUUUGGGUCGAAUGUUUUUAGCAUUAUUUGGAGGCCCAAACAAGGAGUCCUGCAGGCCCGUAUGUGGGAGGAUUUGUGCGUCUGAUUAUUUGGAUAAGGGAAGACGAUGUAGAGGACAAAACCAUAUUUUUCACAUGUGAACUUGCGACUCAAAGAAAGCAACAACCUUUGCUGAAACUUUGGCCAUAAGAAUGGGAACUAAAGAGCAUCAUGUGGAGAUCGUUGGAGAGGUCAGUUGAAGUACUUGCUUCGCAAGGAGGCCAACUCUAUAAAUAGGAAGACACACUCAACCAACGACACACAGCAGACAACUUGCUCGGCUUACAUUCUUCAGCAGCACUCUCUCCUUCUGGCACUUUCUUUUCCAGUUGUUUAGUUUGUUUUUUUUCUUUUUUCUUUUUUAGGUGUUCCGACAAGCAGUUAUUUCGUUUAUUUGUGUUCCGGCAAACAGUUUGUCUAUAUUUGCCAUGUUCCGACAAGUAACAGUCCUUGUAAGUACUCAUUGCUACUGAAUAAAGCUCGUUUCAUUUAAUUC